AUGCACGCUGGCGGCGUGCCUCAUCCAUGCAAGUCGAGCGAACGGACGAGAAGCUUGCUUCUCUGAUGUUAGCGGCGGACGGGUGAGUAACACGUGGAUAACCUACCUAUAAGACUGGGAUAACUUCGGGAAACCGGAGCUAAUACCGGAUGAUAUUUUGAACCGCAUGGUUCAAAAGUGAAAGACGGUCUUGCUGUCACUUAUAGAUGGAUCCGCGCUGCAUUAGCUAGUUGGUAAGGUAACGGCUUACCAAGGCAACGAUGCAUAGCCGACCUGAGAGGGUGAUCGGCCACACUGGAACUGAGACACGGUCCAGACUCCUACGGGAGGCAGCAGUAGGGAAUCUUCCGCAAUGGGCGAAAGCCUGACGGAGCAACGCCGCGUGAGUGAUGAAGGUCUUCGGAUCGUAAAACUCUGUUAUUAGGGAAGAACAUAUGUGUAAGUAACUGUGCACAUCUUGACGGUACCUAAUCAGAAAGCCACGGCUAACUACGUG
rnacentral:rRNA from 1 species